CGCGACCCCAGGUCAGGCGGGAUUACCCG
rnacentral:rRNA from 1 species